GACGAACGCUGGCGGCGUGCUUAACACAUGCAAGUCGAACGGAAAGGCCCUGCUUUUGUGGGGUGCUCGAGUGGCGAACGGGUGAGUAACACGUGAGUAACCUGCCCUUGACUUUGGGAUAACUUCAGGAAACUGGGGCUAAUACCGGAUAGGAGCUCCUGCUGCAUGGUGGGGGUUGGAAAGUUUCGGCGGUUGGGGAUGCACUCGCGGCUUAUCAGCUUGUUGGUGGGGUAGUGGCUUACCAAGGCUUUGACGGGUAGCCGGCCUGAGAGGGUGACCGGCCACAUUGGGACUGAGAUACGGCCCAGACUCCUACGGGAGGCAGCAGUGGGGAAUAUUGCACAAUGGGCGGAAGCCUGAUGCAGCAACGCCGCGUGCGGGAUGACGGCCUUCGGGUUGUAAACCGCUUUCGCUUGUGACGAAGCGUGAGUGACGGUAAUGGGUAAAGAAGCACCGGCUAACUACGUG
rnacentral:rRNA from 1 species